rnacentral:rRNA from 1 species
UUUAAUGUUUGAUGUUCUAACGUUGACCCGUAAUCCGGGUUGCGGACAGUGUCUGGUGGGUAGUUUGACUGGGGCGGUCUCCUCCUAAAGAGUAACGGAGGAGCACGAAGGUUGGCUAAUCCUGGUCGGACAUCAGGAGGUUAGUGCAAUGGCAUAAGCCAGCUUGACUGCGAGCGUGACGGCGCGAGCAGGUGCGAAAGCAGGUCAUAGUGAUCCGGUGGUUCUGAAUGGAAGGGCCAUCGCUCAACGGAUAAAAGGUACUCCGGGGAUAACAGGCUGAUACCGCCCAAGAGUUCAUAUCGACGGCGGUGUUUGGCACCUCGAUGUCGGCUCAUCACAUCCUGGGGCUGAAGUAGGUCCCAAGGGUAUGGCUGUUCGCCAUUUAAAGUGGUACGCGAGCUGGGUUUAGAACGUCGUGAGACAGUUCGGUCCCUAUCUGCCGUGGGCGCUGGAGAACUGAGGGGGGCUGCUCCUAGUACGAGAGGACCGGAGUGGACGCAUCACUGGUGUUCGGGUUGUCAUGCCAAUGGCACUGCCCGGUAGCUAAAUGCGGAAGAGAUAAGUGCUGAAAGCAUCUAAGCACGAAACUUGCCCCGAGAUGAGUUCUCCCUGACCCUUUAAGGGUCCUGAAGGAAC